rnacentral:lncRNA from 1 species
CACGAUGAAGCUCGCGGCUGUGGGUGUGGUAUCCUGGGUAUACAGGAUCUGACAUCCGCCGAUAGGUUAUUUGCUGAAGACGUGAUACAACAGUGGGGGGAUUGCUAAAGCCGCUGGCGCUUCAGGGAUAAACAUCACAGACAGCACCGGAAAGUGGGUGGUGACACGUGAGCGCCGCGGCUACUAGGAUAGUGGACACAGCGCGCCUGGCUACUGCACUAGUAGAAUGCCGCGGGUGCUGACACGUCAGCGCCGCGGCUACUAGGAUAGUGGACACAGCGCGCCUGGCUACUGCACUAGUAGAAUGCCGCGGGUGCUGACACGUCAGCCCCGCGUCUACUAGGAUAGUG